rnacentral:rRNA from 1 species
GACGAACGCUGGCGGCGUGCCUAAUACAUGCAAGUCGUACGCUUCUUUUUCCAUCGGAGCUUGCUCCACCGGAAAAAGAAGAGUGGCGAACGGGUGAGUAACACGUGGGUAACCUGCCCAUCAGAAGGGGAUAACACUUGGAAACAGGUGCUAAUACCGUAUAACAAUCGAAACCGCAUGGUUUUGAUUUGAAAGGCGCUUUCGGGUGUCGCUGAUGGAUGGACCCGCGGUGCAUUAGCUAGUUGGUGAGGUAACGGCUCACCAAGGCCACGAUGCAUAGCCGACCUGAGAGGGUGAUCGGCCACAUUGGGACUGAGACACGGCCCAAACUCCUACGGGAGGCAGCAGUAGGGAAUCUUCGGCAAUGGACGAAAGUCUGACCGAGCAACGCCGCGUGAGUGAAGAAGGUUUUCGGAUCGUAAAACUCUGUUGUUAGAGAAGAACAAGGAUGAGAGUAACUGUUCAUCCCUUGACGGUAUCUAACCAGAAAGCCACGGCUAACUACGUGCCAGCAGCCGCGGUAAUACGUAGGUGGCAAGCGUUGUCCGGAUUUAUUGGGCGUAAAGCGAGCGCAGGCGGUUUCUUAAGUCUGAUGUGAAAGCCCCCGGCUCAACCGGGGAGGGUCAUUGGAAACUGGGAGACUUGAGUGCAGAAGAGGAGAGUGGAAUUCCAUGUGUAGCGGUGAAAUGCGUAGAUAUAUGGAGGAACACCAGUGGCGAAGGCGGCUCUCUGGUCUGUAACUGACGCUGAGGCUCGAAAGCGUGGGGAGCAAACAGGAUUAGAUACCCUGGUAGUCCACGCCGUAAACGAUGAGUGCUAAGUGUUGGAGGGUUUCCGCCCUUCAGUGCUGCAGCUAACGCAUUAAGCACUCCGCCUGGGGAGUACGACCGCAAGGUUGAAACUCAAAGGAAUUGACGGGGGCCCGCACAAGCGGUGGAGCAUGUGGUUUAAUUCGAAGCAACGCGAAGAACCUUACCAGGUCUUGACAUCCUUUGACCACUCUAGAGAUAGAGCUUCCCCUUCGGGGGCAAAGUGACAGGUGGUGCAUGGUUGUCGUCAGCUCGUGUCGUGAGAUGUUGGGUUAAGUCCCGCAACGAGCGCAACCCUUAUUGUUAGUUGCCAUCAUUCAGUUGGGCACUCUAGCAAGACUGCCGGUGACAAACCGGAGGAAGGUGGGGAUGACGUCAAAUCAUCAUGCCCCUUAUGACCUGGGCUACACACGUGCUACAAUGGGAAGUACAACGAGUCGCGAAGUCGCGAGGCUAAGCUAAUCUCUUAAAGCUUCUCUCAGUUCGGAUUGUAGGCUGCAACUCGCCUACAUGAAGCCGGAAUCGCUAGUAAUCGCGGAUCAGCACGCCGCGGUGAAUACGUUCCCGGGCCUUGUACACACCGCCCGUCACACCACGAGAGUUUGUAACACCCGAAGUCGGUGAGGUAACCUUUUGGAGCCAGCCGCCUAAGGUGGGAUAGAUGAUUGGGGUGAAG